rnacentral:rRNA from 1 species
GGGGGAUAACAUUUGGAAACAGAUGCUAAUACCGCAUAAAUCCAAGAACCGCAUGGUUCUUGGCUGAAAGAUGGCGUAAGCUAUCGCUUUUGGAUGGACCCGCGGCGUAUUAGCUAGUUGGUGAGGUAACGGCUCACCAAGGCAAUGAUACGUAGCCGAACUGAGAGGUUGAUCGGCCACAUUGGGACUGAGACACGGCCCAAACUCCUACGGGAGGCAGCAGUAGGGAAUCUUCCACAAUGGACGCAAGUCUGAUGGAGCAACGCCGCGUGAGUGAAGAAGGCUUUCGGGUCGUAAAACUCUGUUGUUGGAGAAGAAUGGUCGGCAGAGUAACUGUUGUCGGCGUGACGGUAUCCAACCAGAAAGCCACGGCUAACUACGUGCCAGCAGCCGCGGUAAUACGUAGGUGGCAAGCGUUAUCCGGAUUUAUUGGGCGUAAAGCGAGCGCAGGCGGUUUUUUAAGUCUGAUGUGAAAGCCCUCGGCUUAACCGAGGAAGUGCAUCGGAAACUGGGAAACUUGAGUGCAGAAGAGGACAGUGGAACUCCAUGUGUAGCGGUGAAAUGCGUAGAUAUAUGGAAGAACACCAGUGGCGAAGGCGGCUGUCUGGUCUGUAACUGACGCUGAGGCUCGAAAGCAUGGGUAGCGAACAGGAUUAGAUACCCUGGUAGUCCAUGCCGUAAACGAUGAAUGCUAGGUGUUGGAGGGUUUCCGCCCUUCAGUGCCGCAGCUAACGCAUUAAGCAUUCCGCCUGGGGAGUACGACCGCAAGGUUGAA